GAAGGUAAUAGAAGACAUUCCAUGUUAUUUUAGUUGACUUGAAUCUUCACUAAUGAGUUUUCUGAGUUGUUUUUUUAUUGUUUACCUGUUGAGCAGGGUCUUGUUGAUUCUGAUACUCUGCCUCUCAAUGUGUCACGAGAGAUGCUGCAAGCCCACAGCAGUUUGAAAACAAUCAAGAAAAAACUCAUCAGGAAAGCCCUUGAUAUGAUUUGUAAAAUUGCCGAGGAGGAUCCUGAUGAGUCGAGUGGAAAAGAUGAGAAAGGUAUUGUAUAUUGAUUUCGUAUAGAAUUAAAUUUAAUUUGCUAGUACUUCUCCGCUAGACUUGGCCUACCACUAGCCUUUGACAAUGAAACUAUUCUAUUCCAACUUAUUUCUGGGUGAAUAUUGAUACUGAAUAUGAUGGGGAUGCAGAAGUGGAAACAUCUGGUGAUGAUGAUGAGAAAAAGGGACAAUACACCAAGUUCUGGAAUGAAUUUGGAAAAUCCAUUAAACUCGGCAUCAUUGAGGAUGCAACCAAUAGAAAUCGCUUGGCAAAACUCCUUCGAUUUGAGAGGUAUUUAACUUUGUAUAUGGUAUUUAGGCAUGAGCAUUGUAUUGGUAAAAUCAAGAAACCGAACUGAACUGAUUAGUUUGAUUGGUUUAAAAGCGUCAAAUUUCAGUUGUGUGUAAAACCAAGCAGCAUUAUUUGGAUUAGUUUGGAUCCUGAAACUUAAAAACAAGUAUUUGGCCUUGAUUUGUUUUUCCUUUUAGUCGAGUCCAAACAGAAGCAUUCUUUGCACAUGAUAAUCACUUUUCUGCUAGUAACUAAUGAGUAAUGGUGUAUGAAUUGCAUUGCAGCACCAAGUCGGAUGGUAAAUUGACAUCACUUGAUCAGUACAUCUCAAGGAUGAAAUCCGGACAGAAAGAUAUAUUCUACAUUACAGGAACCAGCAAGGAACAAUUAGAAAAAUCUCCUUUCUUGGAGAGGCUUAAGAAGAAAAAUUAUGAGGUAACUGCUAAAGCAUUCCGAACCAACUUUUCUCAUCUGCCUUUUUACUUAAUUUAUAUCUCUUUUUCAAUCUGUGCUUGGGUUCUAAUGACCUUUGUUGUUUCCAGGUAAUUUUCUUCACUGAUCCUGUUGAUGAGUACCUGAUGCAAUACCUUAUGGAUUAUGAGGGAAAGCAGUUCCAAAAUGUAUCCAAGGAGGGCCUGAAAAUCGGGAAAGAAAAGAACAAAGAACUCAAGGAGUCAUUUAAGGAACUAACUAAAUGGUGGAAGAACGCACUUGCUAGUGAUAAUGUUGAUGAAGUGAAAAUAAGCAACCGUUUGGACAACACUCCUUGUGUGGUCGUUACAUCAAAAUACGGAUGGAGUGCUAAUAUGGAGAGAAUCAUGCAAUCUCAAACCCUAUCUGAUUCUAGCAAGCAAGCUUACAUGCGUGGCAAGAGGAUCCUAGAGAUUAACCCAAGACACCCUAUCAUCAAGGAGCUUCGUGAGAGAGUUGCCAAGGACUCUGAGGUACCUAUCUAUAUAUGUAAACAGCAGCAUGCAUGUUUGUUGAGUCGGUAUUCAGUUUUAUUUCAUUUGAUGAAAUCAUUUGGUGGAUCUUACAGGAUGAGGGUGUGAAGCAAACGGCUCUGCUUAUUUACCAGACAGCUCUAAUGGAGAGUGGUUUCAAUCUACCCAAUCCCAAGGACUUUGCUUCACGCAUCUACAGCUCAGUGAAAUCUAGCCUUAAUAUCAGUCCUGAUGCAACAAUUGAAGACGAUGAUGAUGUAGAAGAAACCGAGAUAGAGUCGGAGACAAAAGAAAGUGCAGGCAAAGAUGAGUUGUAGAUUGCCUGAAACCUCGGGGAUAUAUUGCCUGAAACCUCGGGGAUAUAUACUCUUUGAGUUUGUUUUACCCUCUGUAGACAUUCACGAUUGAACUGAAACAUGCAUUUUCAAGUCUGAAACUAGGAUAAAAAGAAAAUUUACGUAGUUCUUUCAUUUCGGGUGUUGAGAAGUCUCAUCGAUUUUGUCUGUGGAAUGUGUUUUUGUUGACAGUAUAUACUGGUUUGCAUGAUUAGCUUGUUUGGAAGGUAUAUUAUGGUGGCUUCUUUUUAAUUUUGAUGACGAUGAUCUGUUUUAGAAGUAAAAGAACAUUCGGUUCUACAUUUAAGAGCACUGUUCUAGGGAUGCCUAGUGCAUUAGGAGUUUCAUUAAUGAUCUUUGAUAUACGUUUGGAGAUCCACUUUGAUUUCGAGUACAUCAUACAAGGCAGUCUUUUCCGUCCCAAGAACUUGUAACACUUUACCUGGCUAAUGGGGGUUUUAGUGAUACUAUACUUCGAUAGUCUGUAGUUGUCUAACAUAUUGUCCUUUCUCAACCAACUUUUCACGACCUCCUUGAACACUCCGAUCAUGGUAGCGCAAGUUCUGUCUAUAUCAUGCCUAUUGGGUACCCAUGUAUCAUGCACUAAAACUCAAAUAGCAAAUGCUUGUCCUCAUUCCAGUGAUAAAGAGGAAGAAAAAACUUGAUUGUAUUGUGUUUUGUUAUCUUUUGAGAGCUUUUAUUACCUCUCUUGCAUCACUCAUCCAAAUGCAUGAAUGGUCAUGGCGGUCAAUAUUUGGAUAAUUGCAUGUUUUCUUUUGUUUUUCUGUGUACAUUUAAAAUCUGCGUUGAAAAUACGGAAUCAAGUAAUUUCUCACUUCUGAUUAAUGGAUUUUCACUGAGCCCAACCAUUCGAACUCCUUGAUGCCUUAUUCUGUAACGAGCUUCAUGCUAUCGUAUUUUUUCUUGCUCGCAACAAAACCCAAAAAUACAUUGAAAACUGAUUCAGACCGUAGUCUUUGGUUCAGUUUUAUUUAAUUUGGUUCGGUUGGUCAAAAUUCACAAAUUAAAAAAUUGUAAUUAUACAAGCUAAAGCGAAUCUUAUUUUUAAUUAAGUUUUUUACCUUGUAAGUGCGAUUGUAUUUAUUACAGGAUCAAUAAAUUCAAUUCAGACAGAUUUAAAUUAUAAAUACAUAGAUACAUACCUAUUGAUAGUUUUGAGGAUGUAAUAAUUUUUUAUUUAAGUAAAAUAUCAUAGAAACAAAUAUUUCCGAUAAUAGUUCAGGGACAUCCUAUGCUAAAGUCAAAUUAUAUUUUACUUUUUUUAUUUAAAAAAGUUUCUAUACAUUAGAUUUAAAAAUUAUCUAUUUUUACUAUUAAAAAUUAGUCUUUAUACUUCAAUAUGAGUUAUAUGUGAUAUGUCACAUGAUGUUGUAUGGAUAUUCUCCCAUCCAUCUUAGAUUUUAAUAUUAUAAUUAAAUGAAUUUUUAAUAAAAAUAGGGGUAGCUAAAGGGUUGGUAGGGGCCCCGAUCCCUUAAAAUAAAAAAAAUUCAUUUAAAUCUUUUAAAAUUUUAAAUUAAUAAAGAUAAAGAUUGCACUGUGACUCUCUUAUAAAUAAAAAUUCGAUUUAAUUCUUUAAAAAUAAAAAAGAUAUACUAUUAAAAUUAUAAAAUUAUAUUUUUACUAUAAUAAAAAUUAUAAUUUAAUUUUAAUUUCUAAAAAAAUUUUCACUUCACCCUAAAUAUAAGAAAUCAAUUUACUUUUUAACUUAUUAUAUAAAAACUAUUUUAAAGAUACAUUUAUUUAAUGUAUAGAAAUUGAUUUACAGAAGAGAUAGAUCCACAUGGAAAGGAGAAGGAAAACACACAGAACUGUAAGGCAAGGAUAGUAAUAAAGAACAAUCUAGAAAUCGUGAUUCAUACACCUCCAAGCAUAUUACGCGACGUUUACAGCAAAACCGAGUCGUUCGAUCGUUUGAUGAUCAUCAGGUCAAGUUGACUAAAGAGUUGAAGUCGUCCGAUAUGGGGCCUGCCUGCCCAUAACACACGGCCACGUCAAAGAAACAAAUCCAAACCAAUAAAAUCAUGCCACGUCUCAACAAACCAAAUCAUUAGCCGUUAGAUCCUCCACGCUGGCGCCAAAAACCAAUUAACAUAAUCUUUUCCAUCGCAAAAAACAUUGCUAAACUCCCCCCCACCUAUUUAAGAACUCCCAAGCCUGCACUGAAGGCAAAGCUACUAUAUUUCAAAAAAAAAAAAAAACAAAAAAAAACAAACAAAGGUAGCCUAAGCAAACUAUGAGGAAGUGGGCGAUCCCUUCCGCUUUGGUUCUUCUUUGCCUUCUCAGUCUCCUAUCAGAUCAUGGUAAGCUUACGCCACUUUUCCUUUUUAUUGUUUUUUUUUAUUUCUUGAUUGUGAAAUGCUGAAUCCAGAUCUACACUUGUUUCAGGGAGAAAAGUACAAGCAAAUGCCGAGGAAGGAGCUGUAGAUCCUCCUAAAGUCGAGGAAAAGAUCGGCGCUGUGCCUAAUGGCUUACAAACUGAUUCUGAUGUAGUUAAAAGGUUAGCAUAAUUUUUGUUUUGGAAUAUACUUUUCAUUACUUUGUUCUUUUUUGUUUACUUGAAUUUUGAAUCCGAAUGUUCUUACUAGGGAAUCGGAAUCCAUCUCUUCGAGAUCGCUUCGCAAUAAUGCGGAGAAGUUUGAGUUCCAAGCUGAAGUGUCUCGGCUUAUGGAUAUCAUUAUCAAUUCUCUUUAUAGCAACAAGGAUAUUUUCCUCAGGGAGUUGAUCUCCAAUGCUUCUGAUGUAAGUUUUAUGUCUUUCCUUUUUUGAAUUGUUUUUAGUAAUUUUUUGGAACUCGAUGUUGAAUCAUUGUUUUUAUUCUAAUUUAAGGCACUGGACAAGAUUAGGUUCCUUUCACUCACAGACAAAGAAGUUUUGGGUGAAGGCGACACUUCCAAGCUGGAUAUCCAGGUCAGUUCUUCAAACUAAAACUUUAUCUUAUUGAAAUUUAAUUACAGAGAACUCUGGUUACCACUUAAUUAGAAUGAGCCUGCUCUAUAAUGUCGUUGCUGAGCCUUAAAAAUGCAAUGAAAUUGCAGAUUAAGUUGGACAAAGAGAAGAAGAUUCUUUCCCUUCGUGACAGAGGUAUAGGAAUGACAAAAGAAGAUUUAAUCAAGAACUUGGGAACAAUUGCGAAAUCUGGAACUUCUGGUAACUAAAUCUUUAUAUUUGAUAUUGCAGAAGUAGAGUUAUGUUUCAUUAAGUAUAGAUUACAUAAACUGAAGUUAUUAUUAUUAUCUUUUUUGUGCAGCAUUCGUUGAGAAAAUGCAAUCCAGUGGAGACCUUAAUCUGAUUGGGCAGUUUGGAGUUGGGUUCUACUCUGUAUAUCUUGUAGCUGACUAUGUCGAAGUCAUUAGUAAACACAAUGAUGACAAACAGUGAGUCUUCUAGCUUCAAUGUAGUUCUUAUGGUAAUGUUUGACUGAUUGUUGAACUAUUAUUUGGUUAAUAUGUUUUACUCUUUAGGUAUGUAUGGGAAUCGAAGGCGGAUGGGGCAUUUGCAAUUUCCGAGGAUACUUGGAAUGAACCACUUGGACGUGGGACUGAGAUUAGAUUGCAUCUUAGGGAUGAAGCUCAGGAGUAUUUGGAGGAAAGCAAAUUGAAGGUUAGCAACUUGAAUUUUGCAUGUUUACAUAGCCUAUUCUUUGGGUAUGCUGAUUUUCAUUUGUGAAAUAUUUUCUAUUAUGGUACCAUCCUUUGAAAUGUUAUUUCCGUGAACUUGUAAUUUGAUGUAUUGACUUAAACUUGGCCUUUUGAAGAUAUGCUAACAAAGCAUGCUGUGUUUCUCAUCUGCAGGAGUUGGUGAAGAAAUAUUCUGAGUUCAUCAACUUCCCCAUCUAUAUCUGGGCAAGCAAAGAGGUUGAUGUUGAGGUGCCUGCAGAUGAAGAUGAGUCAAGUGAUGAGGAGGAAACCUGUAUGUAUUAGCUAGCCUGUUAAUGUUUAUUUAAAACUUGUCUUUUUCCUUAAUGCUGUAAGAGUAGGCAUGUUUUGAUUAACUGAUUAUAGUUUUUGGUUUCCUUCUCUUUUAUUUUCACAAACAGCCGAUAGCGGCUCUUCCGAGGAAGGAGAAGAUGAAGAUGCUGAGAAAAGUGAGGAUGAUGAUGCUGAAAAGAAAUCAAAGACAAAGAAGGUGAAGGAAACUACUUAUGAAUGGGAACUUCUGAAUGAUGUUAAAGCCAUAUGGUUGCGCAGUCCAAAGGAGGUGACAGAUGAAGAAUACACGAAAUUCUAUCACUCUCUAGCUAAGGUAAUUUUCCAUAUAUUUUCUAGCUCCAUACUACCGAAAGCAUUAUAGAGAAGUUUCUAUCACUUAUAGAUGCAUAUUUCUGCUUCUCUGCAGGACUUUAGUGAUGAGAAGCCCUUGGCCUGGAGCCACUUCACUGCUGAAGGUGAUGUCGAGUUCAAGGCCGUUUUGUUUGUGCCUUCUAAGGCUCCUCAGGAUCUAUAUGAGAGUUACUAUAACACCAAUAAAGCCAACUUGAAGUUGUAUGUUCGACGAGUUUUUAUCUCUGAAGAAUUUGAUGAGCUUUUGCCAAAGUAUCUUAGCUUCUUGAAGGUAAUAGAAGACAUUCCAAGUUAUUUUAGUUGACUUGAAUCUUCACUAAUGAGUUUUCUGAGUUGUUUUUUAUUGUUUACCUGUUGAGCAGGGUCUUGUUGAUUCUGAUACUCUGCCUCUCAAUGUGUCACGAGAGAUGCUGCAAGCCCACAGCAGUUUGAAAACAAUCAAGAAAAAACUCAUCAGGAAAGCCCUUGAUAUGAUUCGUAAAAUUGCCGAGGAGGAUC
rnacentral:lncRNA from 1 species